GCCGGGUGCGGUGGCUCAUGCCUGUAAUCCCAGCACUUUGGGAGGCUGAGGUGGGUGGAUCACUUGAGGUCAGGAGUUCAAGACCAGCCUGGCCAACACAGUGAGAUCCCAUCUCUA
rnacentral:SRP_RNA from 1 species